rnacentral:lncRNA from 1 species
GUGAUCCACCAGCCUCGGCCUCACAAAGUGCUGGGAUUACAGGUAUGAGCCACCACGCCCAGCCUGCAAACAUAUGUUGAACUCUUUGCACAGUGCCCUGCAUGAGAUAGAUGACAGCUCCUUCUUCCAUGUUGUUAAUUUGGUGUGAGUAUAUGUUAUAUGUAUGUAUAUGCAAGAUAAUAAUCUUCUUGUAACCACUGACAGGCCUUUUUGUGAAUGAUGAUGGAAAAAGCAAGAACCUUGUCCAGGUUCCUCUCCAGGGAGCAGGGGUGGGUUGUGAUUCUUGAUUUCAUUCCUUUAGAUAUGAAGAGUUUUCACACAGAGGCAGCACGAAUUUGUCUCUCUCCUAGAGGGUGGGGAGAGUUGCUGGGUGGAUAUAACUGCAUCACAGCCUUUCUGGGUAAACUGGCCACUCCCUACUGAUUUGUUAUCAUGCUAAAUGUGUCUCCUCCCUUCCUUUCUGGAGCUUUUGCAGCUGUUCCUGGAAGGAGACCCAGUUGAAAGGGGUUGUUAUGGACCAGGAACAGCUGGGAUCUUUAAUGAUCUGUGAGCAGCUUACAGCAAAGUUCCAACACCCUGAGUAUCAGUCCCCAAAUCCUUGGUCUUUGCAUUCCAACACAAAGUAAAAAGGAUUGAGCAGGGUUUUGGUUUUGGUUGCAAGUAACAGAAACCCAACGCUAAUUAAUAAACGGGAAAGUGUGUCAGUGGAAAUGUAAGUAAGAAGAGAUUUCAUUUACUGGCCAAUUCAAAAGAUGACAAGCUUUAGGCGUGGCUCAGUCCAGUGGCUCAUGAUGUCUUCAGGACUCAGUGUUUCUCUGUUGUCAUCUCUUAGUUCUAUUAUUUUUUCUGUGUUGGUUCAUUAUGAGGUUUCCUUUAGAGGGUGGCAGAGAAAGCCACUAGUUGCUUCAAGUCUUUAUUUUACCAGCUCCACAAGUCCGACGGAAAGAGAAAACUGCUUUCCCAAAGGGUGUAAGAGGAUGAAAGGCAUGUCAUCAGCUGAAUUGCAUCAGGUGUCCAUCUUGGAAUCAAUCACGGUGCCUCUUAUUAGCAAAGCCUGAGUCAUAGAGCAGAGCUUUCUCCAGCUGGUAGAAAAAGGGGAAGUAUGAGACUUAAAGGUGGAGGUGGCCCCAUGGAAAAGACCUAAGGGUAGCCUGCGGGAACUGAGAGAAAACCCCAACUGGCAGCCAGCAAGAAAACAGGGACCUUAAUCUUACGACCACAAGGAACUGGACUCUGCUACCAGAAUGAGCUGCAAGGGAGAUUCUUCCUCAGAAGCUUCAGAUAAGAACUCCACCUGGCUGACCUUUGAUUUUGGUUUUGUGAGAACUUUGGCAGAUAACCCAGGCAUGUGUCAUUUCACAUCUGCAUAAAAAGACAUGCUGAAGGAUGUUCCUUGCAGAAUGGUUAUAGAGAAAAAUGGGAAUAACCACGAUAUAAAGUAACAGGAUUUCAACAGUGAAGGAGACCUGAGAAACCAUAAAAUCAAUCUCUCAAAUUGAAGUUGAAAAAAGCAAAUCAUCUCUCACACCCACCCUGAUUGGUAAUAAUUAACUUGGCAAUACUUCAGUUACUCUUUCAUUAAGCAGUUCUCCUAGAUAUCGAAUUUAUGUUAGUUUAUUUAUUGGAUUCAUCCUAAGCAUUCAAGGUACUUUUGAAGGAUAUGAGGCAAACUGUUAGCAUCAUUUAACAUUUAUUGAAUUGUAGCAUCCACAUAACUUAGAGCAGACACAAGACUUAAUGAGAAAAGCAAGACAUUAUUCCUGUUUUAUAGAGAGUAACCAAGGCCAACAGGUAGAAAGAAGACUUGCCCAAAGUCAGACAGAAAAUGUUGAGAGGAGAUUAGGACCCACUUAGGUUAUUUUUGGUAGAUUGCUCUUUUCACUUAUACAUAGCUGAGUUUGCCAGGAAUAAAGAAAAUAUACUGAACAUGAACAGUUAAUUGAGAUGCUUAAGCGUAAACACAUGGAGGGGUGGUAGGUAAGCGCUUGUGUUGACUCAGCCAUCAUUCUGUUUGUGUGUGCCAAUCAGUCUCUGCCAGUUGGUAUCAGUCAUUAUCCAAUGAGAGAAAUGAGAGCUAGGAAAAGGGGAGUGAGCCCCGAUUAUCUUUUAUAAGUAUAUAAAUUGAUGGCUAUGGUAGGAUUUUUCUCAAUGUGGAAACUCGAAGUUCUGUGCCUAAGUUUUAUUUCAAGAAACAUUUUGUUUGUGUCAAUAGAUCCAGAGCCAAUGGGUUCAUUUAAAACUCUCUUUCAUGAUGGCAAUGAAUAAAAGAGGAUCCUAGACCAUCAGAAGAUUUUAGCCUUGGAGCUCCCCACCGUCCUAACACACACAGAUAGAGCUGGCUCCGAACUCUGCUGCUUCCAUGGUCGUGGCUACCUACUACUCUGUUCCUACUUCAUCUUCACUGUGAUUUUUGUCCAUAUGUCAGACUGAAGCAGACUGCUUAGGGCCUUGGGUUGAGGGAGCUUAUAGAACCUUGGGAACCAGGAACCCUUUAGGACCCUGUGAACUACAAGUCUGCUAUUUUAGGAAGUGGAUAAAAUGGCAUUUUGACAGAUCUGGAGGGUCUUGGAUCUACCUUUCAACAUUGGCAUUACUGAUAUUAGAGUACCACCACUCACUAGCUGUGGAGAUGUAGGAAGAUUACUUAACCACUCAGAGCCUUGGUUUCCUCAUUUGUUAUGUGAAGAUGACAAUAUCAGAUGACAGUGAGAUCUGAGAUGAAUUUAACUGCCUUCAGUAGUGCUGGCCUGCUCCUGAGAGAGAGAUGAUUGAGAGGGAGGAAGUAGAGAGGAGGAAGAAGCCUUUACUCACACUCCUUGAGGAGUGAUUCAGGUGGACAGCCUGAAUUACGGGAUUUAUUGGCAGCAAGUAAGUAUUGUCUGAGUGGAUUACUGCAAAAUGCUUUAGCUGGGGAUGGCUUUGAAAACCACUCAUCAAUUACAGAUGGUACCCAGUAUAGCAGCAGGAGUACCCUUGCGGGCUUUUGUUAUCUCCGACCUCUUCCUUCAUGGGUGACCGUUCUAACCCAAAGACCUCAACUGUUCAUCAAAAACCUGCCACUCAGAACUGCAUAUCAAUUAUUAAACAAUGUCCCAUGCAGGACAGUGACUUUAAAUUAUCUUGGAAAUGAUAAAGACCAACAUUUGUCUUUGUUAACAUGCUGAGUGAUUCUGUGGUCUCUAGUCACAGGUGAAAGGAUCAGAUUUGAGAUUUCUAGACACCAGAAUCACAUUAGGGUUAAGCAAAACUCCAUCUUUUCCCAGAGAAAAUUUAGCCAGAAAUGUUGCUUAUUUGAGAUGAGAAGUAAGAUGAAGUGUUCUAACAUGGCGGAGCUUGAUAUGCAAAUGAGCCCAUCUAGGGACAGUAGGGAUUGGUAAUGUGGGUCUGUGGAUGCCUGGAAGGCUCACAGAAAGACUUCAGGAAUUCCUGAGUCUCUUCAAAGUGUAAGCAAAAUUUUGUGUGUAUUUUCUUAUUUGCAUGAUAUGGCUUGGCUGUGUCCCCACCCAAACCUUAUCUCGAAUUGUAACUCCCACAAUUCCCACAUGUCGUGGAAGGAUCCUGGUGGGAUUCAUUAUGGGGGCAGGUCUUUCCAGUGCUGUUCUCAUGAUAGUGAAUGAGUCUCACAAUAUCUGAUGGUUUUAAA